CGCCAAAGUUUCUUGUCCCUAGAAUGACAUGAAUUUCCUGAGACUACCUAAUCAUAUUGUUUGAGUUGUGAGACUCUGGCUUAGAAACAAAUAGCGUACCUUGCUCUGACAUGACCAAGUGUCCUACAGUCGGGCUCACCUCAAAGGACAAGGGCAGUGUCACCAGGGAGAAAUGCCGGCUCUGAACUCAGCUCAUCUAAUCAGAGGCCAGCCUUAACUAGCCCCCGGGGCUCUUCCAUACAUCUGUAGUUGCUAAGACUACAUUAAUUAAUGGUAUUAAUACCAUUACUGAUGGUCUAUAGACAUACUUUGGUGCGAUGUCUCCUCAACAGACACAUACACAGAGAGACGGGGGAGGGGGAGAAGGGGAGCGAGAACCUUGUUGUUUGGGGAUGUCUGCUUGUUUUUAAAUGGCUUCUCUAUUUUGAUAACAAAGUAUCUGUUUCUUUUUGGUACUUACAGACUCACUGCCUCUCCCUCUCCCUCUCCCUCUCCACCCUACCCAUUUCCCAAUGAUCUGCCUGCCCUGGCACUGGCCAUGUCACCUUUCCUAUGCCAGCCACUCUGCUUUGCCUCCUGUUCCCACUCUUGACGUUUCCGUUGUGGACAGCUGAGCCCCCGUUGCCUAGAUAUCAAUGCAGGCAGAAGAAAACCUGCUUUCUGAUUGUUCCCUUGACCCCAGGUACAAAACGGAAAAGCAGCUAGAGGGACUGCAAGUCUUGUGUUCAAAGAGCGAUUGAGCUCAUCAACAGCCAAACUCUUAGUCACCCCAUGUCCCCAUCUAUUCCUCUCCUGUGAAAUUCCCACAGCUAGAAGUAAAGUUUCUCCACCCUGUGAUUGUACAACCUGAAAUUCCAGGUUGGAGUUACUGGGGUCUCUCUCCCUGUUCCUUGGGCCCCCAGGCAAUCCAUCAGUGAGAAGGCUCCUCCGGGAAUCACUCUCUUGUCCUGUCUACUCCACUCACCUGCUCCAUUAUUCUAGGCUGCCAUUUCCCAGACAGGUUUCCCUGCUACUAGCUUUAGCCCACACAGAGGUCAGAUGUUCAAAAUCAUUUUCUGGAGUAUAACUAUAAACCUCCCCAUUCAGACCAUCAAUUGGCCUUGAGAGAACAUCGAAGCAGGAUAUUGUGGCCAUUGACCUUUGCCUCCAUCUCAGCCUCUCAUCCUCUCUCCACCCUUCUAGGACAUGGACUCACUUCCUCUGUAUACAUCCCUGCUGCCUCUUCUGGAUGACUAUCUGGAGCUCUGUGCUCCCACAGGAGCAGCAUGAUGACCUUUCUCUACUCAAGCCUAAACUCAAGGUUCUGUUUGCAGUGAGGUCAACCCCUGACACACUGUCUGAGGCCAGUUCUUAUGCUAGCCCAAUGCUCUCAUACUUCUGUCCAGGCUUGUCACUCUAGAAAGCACCUUGCUGUCUUAGUGCCUUUCCUACUGCUAUGAUAAGACACCAUGACCAAGGCAACUUAUACAAGAGUUUCUUUGGGGAUCAUGGUUUCAGAGAGUUAUAGUUCAUGACCAUCGGCAUAGCAGCAUGACAGCAGGCAGGCAGGCAUGGUGCUGGAGCAGUAGCCGAGAGCUUACAUCUGAGAUGCAACCAUGAGGUAGACAGAGCUAACUGGGAAUGGCACCAGCUUUUGAAACCUCAAAGCCUACCCCAAGUAACACAUUUCCUCCAAUAAAUCCACACCUCUGAACCUUCCAAGCAGUUCCACCAGGGGGGAAUCAAGUAUUUAAACAUAUGAGCCUAUGGAGACCGUUCUCAUUUAAACCAAACACUUACUGUGGUUUUGUUUUGUUUUCUGUUCCUGAGUGCAUCACCAUUGGACUAUAAACUCUAGAGAGUAAUUACUUUAAACUAUUGAUUCAUUCUUUUCUUAAACUGUUACAUGAGACCUGACAAACGCUAGCCUUAUUUCUGUGUUCACACAUCUCCAAGUUAAUCACUCCUUGUGAUAAAGAGAAUGUCACAACUAGCUGUGUAGGUUGGGAAUGCCAGAUCAAUGGACCCAUACUUGAACCAUGCUUGGAGCAAACGUAACUCGCUCUGUAUGCCUGACACAAGUUGCUGUGAGGAAGACUGUACCCAGCACUGUGGUAGAAUAUUGUUUUAAGGUGUGUUACUUUUUUUAUGCUCUGGGACAUUUGUUUAAUGAUGCAAAGAUGUGGUACAUUUGAUUGAUUAAAUAAAAUUAACCUGCGGUCAGGAGACUGCGUCAGCAACUAGCUGACAGAAAGUGGUAGGGAGGAACCAGGUGGAGAAGGGCUUUUAAGUGGGGGCUGGGAGAAGGAUGGGGGCUUUUUGGAGGGCGUGAGCAAAGGGAGGAGUUGAGCUACUUGCUGUUCAACCUCUCUGAGGAGCAGAAUUCCACCUCAACCUUUGAAUCUUGAUUUCUUUAGAGGGACAGAGAUUUAGAUAAGUUCCCUUCAUAGUUUUGAAAGGGUCAGUACCUGAGGGAACAGAAUCUCCUCAGGCUGCGGGCAUUGCAGCCGAAUGGCUGCUGGUAGCCUGGGAGUUGCAGUUGCUGAUUAGGACAGCCAUGGCUUAAAAGGCAGCAACAGUUUUAAAGAAAGACAACAUAGCCCUGCACAGUAGCCGGAUGCACUCACCUCCUACUGAGCACAAGGCCACAGAGUCUUGUGAAAAAGAGGGAAUGGGGUUGAAUCAACAAAUCUCUGACCCCCCCAAAGAGGGAAGCAUUUUCUUCUUGGUUUCACCUUUCAGUGAAGUGUGUUUCAGCCAUGACUAGACUAAUGUCCUGAUCUGGCAGAUUGGUCUGUUCAGCAUGGAGGCAGAGAGCACACAGGAAGUCUACACUCCUAACCUGGAGAACUUAAUCCAAGACUGUAGCAUGGGUUGUCUGAACACCGAAGCAUGACAAAACAGAAAGACCGGCUGCUUCAAAAUGCAUAGACUUUGCCGCUUUGCGCAGUGUUUUCCUCUCAUCUUCCCAAAUCCCGUCUUUGCUUCUCUCUAUCUGUCUUGCCACGGCAUUCUUUCCCCCUCGCUUAUCCUCAUUACUAUCUAUGAUUCUGAGGACAUUUAAAAUACUGGUCUCCCUGUCCUAGACAAAAAUCUCUUUCCUGAGCUUCAGACAUUUAUGUCCAUGUGCCACUCAGAUAUUAAAACUAAUAGCUUUAUUGAGGCAAAACAAGCAUAUGAUGAGUUUCACAUAUUCGAAGAGUAAAAUGUGUUACAUGUGACAGAUACAUACAGCUGAAAAGCUGUCGCCAGAAUCAAGGGACGUACUUCCCGGCAGAGGGUCCCCUGUGCUGUCCUUCUCAUCCUUCAUAUUCCCAGGAGAACUGAUCUGCUUCGACUGUACGAGAUUUGUCAUGUGCUGGAGUUCACCUAAAGGGAGCCAUUCGGUAUCUGUUCUCCAAUGCCUGGCUUCUUUCGCUUAGCAUCACUCUGGGACCCAACUGAAGUUGUCAGGCCUGGUGGCAAGAGCUUCUACCUGCCCAGCCAUCUCAUGAGCUCACAGAGAGACUUUUAAUGCCCAAUCUCCACGGCUUAUAUUUAGUUGAGCACCCCACUCCGCACCUCACAAGGUAAUUGGCCUCACUCAUAUCUCUUUUGCCUUUCAGUCUUGUGCUCUAUGUUUUAUGGAGACCUUGCAAAGCCAUCUGACGUUUCUAAGGAGAGGGGACUCUGAUUUUAGGAUGUGGACCUUCUCUGUGUGACUGGUGCCUGAAUUCUGAAUGAACUGAAAACCAGCUGUUCUCAGGGCCAAUAAAUCACGAAAGCUGUCUGGGCCUGUCUGCUAGAAGAUCUAGCCUGUGACCACUCUUGCAAGUCGGAAGAGGAGGGUGGAGCCGGUGGUUGAGAUGAAAGGCAGGAUUUCCUGUGGAAACUCAGCUUGGGUCUGUGCAGUUAGUGAUCCAGCUUUUCCUCCUCAUAUGCUAAGUGUGAGCCUGGGUCUGUAACCCGCUGGCUAUCCACUUACCUCAUUACAACACCAGGCAGGCACUGCCUUCACCUGAGCAAGAGCCAAAGCGCUGCUUCUGUCCUGCUUGUGGUAACAUUGGAGAGGCAAGGAGGAAAUGAUUUCAUUUCCAACUUCAAAAGGGGGAUUCCCAAGUCCUGGUGCAGGGACAGUCCUUAAGAUUUGAGAGGUCUUAACUCUGAUGCAUGCGCACUUACUCCCUUCUCCGUUGUUAGGGUACCUGGAUGUGGGCAGACUGGAGAUGGUGGUAAACUUGUCGGCAGGCUUGCCGUGAAUAUGGGCUGGCUGGUGAGUGAACCACUCGGUGUGGAAGUGGUCUCUGCCAUGUUUGGGUCUGGCCUUCAGCAGAACUGGCUGUGUCAUGUAAGAAGUCCAAUACUCCCCAGCUAAGAGUGCAGGGAAGGGAAGUGGGCAUUGCUGAGACCAGCCUUCUGGCCAUCUCUGCUACUGUGGUUUAAAAGUGAAGUGUCAUAUGUUUUAACACUAGUCUCCAGGUAGUGAUGCUAAUUUGGAAGAUCGUGGAGCCUUUUGAGCAUGGGACUUACCUGGCAGAAAUAGUGCCUACGUGGCAGAACUUCCGUGUUGGGGGCACUUCCCCUCUGGUUCAAGCUGUUUCCUGAUUCACUGAGACAGUGGUUCUCAACCUCCCUAAUGCUGUAACCCUUUAAUACAGUUCCUCGUAUGGUGACCCCCAACUAUGACAUUAUUUUCAUUGCCACUUCAUAACUGUAACUUUGCUACUGUUAUGAACCAUAAUAUAAAUAUCUGUGUUUUCCAAUGGUCUUAGAUGACCUCUGUGAAAGGGUCAUUCGACCCCCAAAGGGGUUGCGACCCACAGGGUUGAGAACCACUACACUAACAUGUGAGCAAGCCACAUCCCACUCCCAUCAUUGUGGGCAUGUCUCUCCCGCUGCCCUGAGCAGCACCAUGCUUUCCCAUCAUGACCCUGAGAGCCCAGAUAAGUGCCUCCUUCAUUAAGCUGCUGCUACUGGAUACUUUGUCAUGGGGAAAUGAAUGAAUCUGCCAGGGCCCCAAUUUUCUGUCACCUUCCGUCCAGCCCAGUCACCAGCUGAGUUACCACCAAGAGACCCCAUUCAAUCCACAGCCAGCUAUUGACCCAUAGAAAAGAAACCCAAUUCUUGACCUAUAGAUAAUGGUUGUUUCUGUUUGCCAAGUUUUAGGAUGUUUCUUAUAGAGGAGUCACCCCGGAACCCUGAAGAAGGACAAUUCCUAUAGGAGCCUCUGUAUCUUACACUGCUUUUCAAAACCUCAGCCUAUUCUUUUUUUAUUUUUUCUAUAAACUUUAUUAUUAAAAAAAAACUUGCAAAUAAAUAAAAACUAAAGCCAUAAUAACAACAAUAAGUAAUACAUUAAAGAUAAAUAAAGCUAAUUUUUUUUUAGUUUUAGCUCUGUCAUGGGCCUUCUUGUUUGGGGUGGUGAAUAAGUCCAUAAAAUAUAUUGGAUGCUGAAAGCGUAAAAAUUUAAUGUGAACUUUCACAGCGUCUGUUCUGAAUGCCAAUUCUAAUGUAUAGAAGUUCACUACAAUGUAUAGACUUUGUGUCUGGUUAAUUUGGGGGAGUGAUUUGUUUUUUUACUUGUCAGUCCUGUUCUUUAUCAGGACACUUCAGUUGGCAUGUCCCUCAGAUUCAGACAUCAGGACCCUGGACCUGUGCUUCCCGUGGGAGCCGCUGGGCUGGCAGAGGAGUUUCAAGCUUCGCUCCAGCAGUCAGAACUAUUUCAUAUGCAGCUGUCAACUCAAGAUAAUAGACCUGUCCUCUGCCCAUCCAGGGUACACUGUUACACAAACUUUUCUGGUUGUCAUGACUGUGAUUUUUUUUUUUAAUUUGUAUUUUUAUUUUGCAGAUGACUGCGAUUUUAAAGUUAAAACUGGGUAGGGAGAUGAGGAUUCUGCUGGAGAAAACAAGUAAAUCUUUAUGAAAUUGUUCUUCCCAGACUUAGAAAGGAAGAGGAGCCCAAGGGCAGUAAGAAUUCAAGUAACGAUGCCACACUUUACCCACUUUAAUCCUUCCCUGCUUUUUCUCUCAAUCAUUCUUCUUCUCUUCCCCAGGGCUCAUGUCCUCAACACCAUGCUGCCUUUCAGGAUACAGAUUCACAGUUCCCAAUUAUUAAUCUCCCUUCGGGCCAUUUUCUCCUUGUUUUCUCUUUCUUUUGCCCAGCUAAAAUUAGCAUCGCUAGGUGGGACCUGUAGUUAGACCCAGCACACAGCUCCAACUCUGAGUGGGAUGCCAAGAACACCUUUUCAGCCUGGAUCCCAGGGUGUGCAUGGAUGUUCUGUGCUGAGGGCAUCAAUAUGGUGCUCAGCCAUGCGUGGUUGUUUCUAUUCUAAGGGAUGCAUUUGGCUGUUUAUUAAGCAGCAAGAAACAGCAUAAUCUUUACCUGCUGACAAAAUGAAUGUGGGUAAGAUGCUCCUAAAUGCUUGGCAUUGAUGUUUGUGAGCAGUAAUCAGCUAAGUUUCGGUGUGGGUUAUGCAGGUGCUUGCUAGAGAAGCUGACAUCCCCAAAUGGCAUUUUUAUUUGAUCCAGGCCCCCAAAGAACUUUACUUAGCUUGGCAAAAGCAAGAUGCAUUUACAAACGUGAUGUGUCAAAGUUACCUCAUCGCAUCUAUUAGGAGGUCUUAUCUUUUCUGGUUCCUUCAUUUCAAGUUGCAGGAUAUUUGCUAAAAGCUCAAGAAGAAAUCGAGUUAGACCAAGGAAGAAUUGAAUGGGUUAGUCGGGAUGUGUUUCAAGUUAUAGGAAAAUUAGGAUGACUAUAUAAUUGAUUCUCAUAAAUGGGAUAGUGAGUGGGAAAUGAGGCACUUCCAAUAAUUAUAUCAAGAUGACAGAUGUUAACCUGGAGAGUCCUAGGAACAGGGGUGUUCAAAAACCUCCCAGGUCAAGGAGCUGGGGGACAGCUGUCAGCAAUGUGCUUCCCCGUGCAAGUGUGAUGGCCUGAGCUUGAACCCACCCCAGAGCCCCAGGGAAAUGUAGUUGCAAUGGUGCCUGCUUCCAUUCCUGGUGCUUUGGAGGCAGAGGUAGGAGGAUGCCAGAGGGUUGCUGGACAGCCAGCCUAGCCUAACUGGUGAGUACAAGAGUAUAUGCCAAGGUGAGUAUGAGUGCAUGCCUUGGCAUAUAUGCCCCUGUACGUGUGUGUGUGUGUGUGUGUGUGUGUGCGCGCGCACGCACACACACACACACACACACACACACACACACACACACACACACACACACACACAAAUGAAUGGAUAAACGAUGUAAUUUUAAGAAGGGGAAGGGUUGAAUAUGGAAUGGGUGACCAGCAAAAUGUCCACUCUAUAGAAACAAACUUACAUUCAAUCAAGUGGCUCCUUAAUGCUUUGACUGUAAAUUGCAGCCUCUGGUGUCAGUUCCCAGAGUAAAACCAGAUUUCAUUCUCAUGUGACCUUCGGCAAGGUCUUUAAACCAGACCUUAUUUGUCCAAUUCAGAAACAGGGAAAUCACGGUAACUGCCUUGUACAGCUGUAGUGGGAUUAAACAAAAUACUGCCAUACAGUGGGAUUAUAGCAGUGUCUGCUGAGUAAGGAGUGCUUAAUGAAGGGCAGCGUCAUUGAAAUGGUCAUUGGACGACUGUUUCAAAGGUAUGUGACAUCAUAUGUAGUGGAGGGGUAGGGUUCCUGGUGUAACCCCUAUUCCCCGAGGCACACAAUAGGACAGAGCUUCUCUUUCGCAAGGGAGGUCAACCAAAUUCUAAUCUUGCCUCCAGUCUGCCUCUGAACUGGCCACAAAGAAAUUCUGUCACCUACCCUUGACAGAUAGAUCUUGUGACACUGGGCAGAUCUUGUGACCCUAGGAUUCCAGAAACUUUCUGUCCAUACCCUGAGGGAAGGAAUGCCGCUCAGAGAAGAUAAGAAGACAGCUGGAGGCAAACAGGCUUUGCCCACUUUCCCAAGUCUCCUCGUCAGCAGCUGGUAUGCGAUAAAACCUCCAUAAAAUGCAGAAGGACAGGCUUUUCCAGCUCCGAGACAACUACUGAGUGUGUGGCUUUUACAGAAAGUCAGAUGAGACUCCUCCACCACAGGGAGCUGGAGUUCCCUGAGGACAUGGCUAUAGUGCCUGUGCUCCGAACCCUAUACUUCACCCCGGCUGCCUCAUCAUCUGCCAGUUUCAUUGAUACUCUUUACGGAAAGUUAAGAACCAGAAGCACAGUGUUUCCUUGAGUUCUGUGGGCCACUCCUGCAAAUUCAUCAAACUUGGGGCUACGGGUCCUUAAUCUGUAGCUGAUUGGCCAGCAGUUCCAGAGACCCAGACUUAUGCCUAGGCCUGCGGUGUGGGCAGUUAGGGUCCUCAACCCCUCAGUCCAGACAGAAUGCAGCAGAGGGACACCCCAGUUCUGCUGAUGCAGAGUUGCUUGCUUUCUGGAAGGGAGGGAUCCUCACACCUUUUGAGGCCACGGAUGACUUUUGUGUUGAUUGCGGUGUGUGAGUAAAAGAAAAAGGUCGUGGGUUUUUUUUUCCAGACAGAGAUGCUAUCAGCAGUACAGAAAUUCAUUUACUUGGUUGAGGGGAAAUAAGAGAGGCAGAGGUAAGCUGAACGGGGAUCCUGGUGAGAACCGAAGAGCAAUUCAAAGGAUAAGACCAACCCGCAGGCAAAGUCAGGGGUCCUGGGAGUUCGGAUGUUUGCUGUUAAAGGUUGUAUAAUUACAUCAUUUCUCCCUCCCCUUUCCUCCUUCCAAACCCUCCCAUACACCCCUGCCUACUCCCCUUCAAAUUCAUGACCCCAUUUUUCACUAAUUGUUACUGCAUGGAUACAUGUACAUGUAUAUACGGACAUAUUCCUAAAUAGAACCCAUUCAGUCCCUAUAAUAUUACAUGUAUGUAUGUUUUCAGGGCUGACCAUUGGGCAUUGUUGGUUUUUUGUUUGUUUGUUUGUUUGGUUUUCAAGACAGGGUUUCUCUGUGUAGUUUUGGUGCCUGCCCUGGAUCUUGAUCUGUAGACCAGGCUGGCCUCGAACUCACAGAGUUCUGCCUGGCUCUGCCUCCCCCGAGUGCUGGGCCAUUUGGCAUUCUUAAACUCACCACAGGGUAACUUAAAGGAGUUUCCCAGUGUUUUGUGGUCAAGAGAUUCUCUCAGAUUCUUGAUAAAUCCCCAGUUUAUCACAUCUGCCCAUUGUAUGUCUUCACAUGGAUAAAAGCAUGGGGGAAGGAUUUAGAGGCAGGAGCUGAGAUGGCGUUUUAGAGAUGCCACAGCAGAAAGGCGAUGAAGCUUAGUGACAUCCAUUUCUCCCAGACAGGGGAAAGGGAGUGUCAGAUGCAGGUCUGUGACAGCGAGGAUGAAACUAGGGAGACAAUGGUAUCCCUGACAAAGAGAAGAAGGAGGAGGCUGGCCUCCUAGACACGGGGUUGGAUUUGUAAGAACAAGACUGGCAUGACCAGGGCUUUGAGAAUAAAGUCAAAGUGAUACCAGAAUAGUGGGGAAGGCGUUUUCUCUUCCCCUCUGUCCUCCUCAGCACAUGCAGGGAGCUAAAAAGCAAGCAGAGAGAAAAAUGUCACAUCAAUAAAAACAUUUACAAACUUGUACAUAUCCUGGCUAAGUUUACCACUAGUGAUCUAUCAAAGUUAGAUGCUAUUUAGUCCUGCUUUUGGAUGUGAGCAUGAAGGGAGGCAAAGUAGUGGUUUUCAUCUUUGCUUCCUAGGGGCUUUUGUAACAAAAGCACUAUUUUAAUAGAAGGCAAGAUACCUUAUGAAUUUGUGUUAUAAAUAGAGAUUGAACCAUUAGCAACAACCAUGCACGUGCACAAUUUAGCUUUUACUGUCCUGUGUUUCUCUGGGGAUUUUUAGGGUUAGAUGUGGAUAGGUUCUUAUAGUCAAAACACCACACACACACACACACACACACACACACACACACACACACACACACACACAAACACACGGCGUAGGAAAAAUAAGCAAACUUCAAUCUUCAAUUGCUAGGCUUCAUUUCACAAAACCCAUCAAAAACAUGGCAGACUGAUAGACUCUGUUCUGUGCUUCUUUACAAGGGCCUGUCCUUAUCAUUACCUGGGAAAACUAUCUUUUCCCAUCAUGCAUCUGCCUCUAUGGCACACUCAAAGGGUAGGUAAAAAGGAAUGAACCUUACUGUGUGGAAGUCUGACCUAUUCCUGGAAUCUCUCACCCAUUCUAUCUAUCUAUCUCAUGGAUUAUACUCUUCUCUGUCAAAGUUUGUCUAUGAAGCCCAACACCCAACACUCCCUUGUGCUUUAAGAAGGACAUUCACCCCUCACAUCUAUGCCUUUGCCCUGUAAAAAAAACUUCCUCCUGAUUAUUUGUUCUGCUUCCUUUAUGUAUUCUUUCUCUGAUAGAGACGGAAAACCUGCAUAAAAUUUCACUUCUAUCUGUGUUAGACUUACUCAGCCUUCACCCAUUAGAUAAGCAGUUACAUAGAGAGACAGGCAGACAGAUAGAUGGAUGGACGGACGGACGGACAGACAGACAGACAGAUGCACAGACAGAUGAUAGAUAGAUAAUAGAUAGAUAGAUAGAGAGAGAGAUAGAUAGAUAGAUAGAUAGAUAAAAUUUCUUCUUUUCUUACUAUCAGUUUCUAUAAAAGACAGAUUGUCCAAAUUCUCAUUGUUUAUUAAUAUAAUGCCAUUAAAGGAAAUUUUUUAAAAAAUAUUUUCAUUACAAAAGGUUACCUAAGAUUUUUAAGCACUUAAAAUUUUUCUUCCUGAACAUGUAGAAUCUGGCAGUCAUUGAACUGAAGAUAUUAAAAUAUGCCACUGCCUCUGAAGUCUGUACUCUGAUUUCAGAGAUGCAGGUGUAUAGUUGUACUACUGGUCUAAAUUAGAAUUCAAAAGAGGACUCUGUCCUGCCCAAGACUGAGUAAGGAAUCUUAUUUUUCUGUUUUUGCUCUGCAGGCAUGCUUUAAUUCUGAAACAAACUGUAGGGUUUUCUGGUAUCACUAGCUCAUCAUCAUCAUCAAACUGUUGCUGAUGGAAUUACGGAAGGAGAAGAUCUCUCUCCUACAUACUUAUUAGACCUCGACUCCUAUCACACCAAAAGAAGAGGCUUCACUUGGAGUCACUCUCCUGGAUUGAGCCUGGUUUGUUACCCGGAAAGAAGUGGCUUCCUGGGGCAGACAGUCACACGCUGAAAGCUGACGAAGAAUUUUAAGGGCAUCUGUGUUUCUGUGAUUUGUAUGUCAUGGAACUUAAGUCCUGACUUGACCUUGCUGCUCCAGGCUGCAUGAUCAAGAACACCACCACCCCACAUACAUUUUCCCAUUCAAUCUCUACAAUGCCUCUCAAAUGUUUAUACAUUAUUUUCCAACUGAAAAGAUUUAGAAACUAAGUAUAUAUAUUUUUUUGCAGGACAGAAAAUUCAAAUAGCUUAUACAUUAAUAAAUGGCAGGGAUCAUGAUUCAACCAUAGGGUGGUGUUUCUCUCCCUCUCUGAAUCUACCACAGGAUAUAAGAUCAUCCACAAGGGCAAAUGUAGUAGAAUUUUAUUUUAAGGUGUAUUACUUUUGUUUAUAUUGCAUUUGUUUAACUCGGUGAAACUGUGUUACUGUGCCUGUCUAAAACAUCUAACUGGUCUAAUAAAGAACUGAAGAGCCAAUAGCAAAGCAGGAGAGAGAGAUAGGUGGGGCUGGCAGGCAGAGAGAAUAAAUAGAAAGAGAAAUCUGGGAAGGGGAAUUGAAAAGGAGAAGGAGCCAGAGAAGGGAAGGACAUCAGGGGCAAGCCACCCAGCUACACAACCAGCAAGCCACAGAGUAAGAGUAUGAUUUACGGAAAAGAGAACAGGAAAAGCCCAGAGGCAAAAGGUAGACGGAUAAUUUAAGAGAAGGAAAGCUGGCUAGAAACUAAGCCAAGCUAAGGGUGGGCAUUAAUAAGCAAGAAUAAGCCUCCGUGAGUGAAUUAUUUGGGAGCUGGGUAGUGGGCCACCCAAAAGAGCAAAAAACCAACAACAGGCAAAUAUUUGAAAUGAACAUUAGUGUCUAUCCGAUGACAUUUCUGGUUCCUCAGGAAGUCGAGGCUCAAACCUACACAACAAAGUGGGGCCUGAUGCAAGUCUCUGAGGGCCAGGCCUGCAGUGCACUGUUGUGUUUUGUUUUGUCAUGAGACAGCCUUGCUAGCCUCAAACUCAUGUAGACCAGGUUAGCCUCAGACCCUGAUCCUUCUACAUCAGUCUCACCAAGAGACUGAGGCCAACUUGGUCUACAUGAGGUUGGGAUUAGGGAAAUCAAGUGUACCUGUGGGUGUUGAUCUAAGUGGGGCUACACUGUUUAAAAAUAACAGUUAUGAAACAAAACUGCUUAAGCUAAACAUGCUGUACAGUGCUCACGAAUUUGUAGCUGUUGUACAAUCUCCUUGCCUUUUGUAACUUUGUCUGGAUCUACAACUGCAUCAUCAAACUCCUUCACUGCCAAGUGUAGAGAUCAUUUAGUACAUAAGAAGGUAGCUUCAAACAUCUCACUGUGCCUAUUUCCUCCCUCCUUUUAUUAAUAAGUUUGAUCUCUUAUAA